rnacentral:rRNA from 1 species
UACAUAGGGUGCAAGCGUUGUCCGGAAUUAUUGGGCGUAAAGAGCUCGUAGGCGGUUUGUCGCGUCGAAUGUGAAAACCCGGGGCUCAACCCCGGGCCUGCAUUCGAUACGGGCAGACUAGAGUUCGGUAGGGGAGUCUGGAAUUCCUGGUGUAGCGGUGAAAUGCGCAGAUAUCAGGAGGAACACCGGUGGCGAAGGCGGGACUCUGGGCCGAUACUGACGCUGAGGAGCGAAAGCGUGGGGAGCAAACAGG